rnacentral:rRNA from 1 species
GGGUGAUCUGCCCUGCACUUCGGGAUAAGCCUGGGAAACUGGGUCUAAUACCGGAUAUGACCUCCUAUCGCAUGGUGGGUGGUGGAAAGAUUUAUCGGUGCAGGAUGGGCCCGCGGCCUAUCAGCUUGUUGGUGGGGUAAUGGCCUACCAAGGCGACGACGGGUAGCCGACCUGAGAGGGUGACCGGCCACACUGGGACUGAGACACGGCCCAGACUCCUACGGGAGGCAGCAGUGGGGAAUAUUGCACAAUGGGCGAAAGCCUGAUGCAGCGACGCCGCGUGAGGGAUGACGGCCUUCGGGUUGUAAACCUCUUUCAGCAGGGACGAAGCGCAAGUGACGGUACCUGCAGAAGAAGCACCGGCUAACUACGUGCCAGCAGCCGCGGUAAUACGUAGGGUGCAGGCGUUGUCCGGAAUUACUGGGCGUAAAGAGUUCGUAGGCGGUUUGUCGCGUCGUUUGUGAAAACCAGCAGCUCAACUGCUGGCUUGCAGGCGAUACGGGCAGACUUGAGUACUGCAGGGGAGACUGGAAUUCCUGGU